CCUACGGGAGGCAGCAGUGGGGAAUAUUGCGCAAUGGGGGGAACCCUGACGCAGCCAUGCCGCGUGAAUGAAGAAGGCCUUCGGGUUGUAAAGUUCUUUCGGUAUUGAGGAAGGUUGAUGUGUUAAUAGCACAUCAAAUUGACGUUAAAUACAGAAGAAGCACCGGCUAACUCCGUGCCAGCAGCCGCGGUAAUACGGAGGGUGCGAGCGUUAAUCGGAAUAACUGGGCGUAAAGGGCACGCAGGCGGUUAUUUAAGUGAGGUGUGAAAGCCCCGGGCUUAACCUGGGAAUUGCAUUUCAGACUGGGUAACUAGAGUACUUUAGGGAGGGGUAGAAUUCCACGUGUAGCGGUGAAAUGCGUAGAGAUGUGGAGGAAUACCGAAGGCGAAGGCAGCCCCUUGGGAAUGUACUGACGCUCAUGUGCGAAAGCGUGGGGAGCAAACAGGAUUAGAUACCCUAGUAGUC
rnacentral:rRNA from 1 species